AGUAGUUGAUCAGUGGCUCGAGGACGAACGCUGGGCGGCGUGCCUAACACAUGCAAGUCGAACGAGGUCCAGGGAAGCUUGCUUCCUGAAGACCUAGUGGCGAACGGGUGAGUAACACGUGAGAAACCUGCCUCGGAGUGGGGAAUAACUCGGGGAAACUCGAGCUAAUACCGCAUACCUUCACAUGAUCGCAUGGUCGAGUGAAGAAAGAAUUUCGCUCUGAGAGGGUCUCGCGGCCUAUCAGCUUGUGUGGGUAACGGCCUACCAAGGCAACGACGGGUAGCUGGUUUGAGAGAACGAUCAGCCACACUGGGACUGGGACACGGCCCAGACUCCUACGGGAGGCAGCAGUGGGGAAUCUUGCGCAAUGGGCGAAAGCCUGACGCAGCAACGCCGCGUGCGGGAUGACGGCCUUCGUGGUUGUAAACCGCUUUCAGCAGGGACGAAAAUGACGGUACCUGCAGAAGAAGCCCCGGCUAACUACGUG
rnacentral:rRNA from 1 species